rnacentral:rRNA from 1 species
UUCUGAGCGCUGCUGGCCUUUACGGUCUAGCUCGUUCGUAAUGCAUUAGCAUCCGCAAUCGAACUUCGGAUUGACUUGGCGUAAUAGACUAUUCGCUGAGGAAUUCUAGUCUUCGGACUAGAGCCGGGUUGGGUUAAAGGAAGCUUCUAAUCAGAAUGUCUACAUUUUAAGAUUAGAUCUCAAAUCAGGUAGGACUACCCGCUGAACUUAAGCAUAUCAAUAAGCGGAGGAAAAGAAACUAACAAGGAUUCCCCUAGUAGCGGCGAGCGAAGCGGGAAGAGCUCAAAUUUAUAAUCUGGCACCUUCGGUGUCCGAGUUGUAAUCUCUAGAAAUGUUUUCCGCGUUGGACCGCACACAAGUCUGUUGGAAUACAGCGGCAUAGUGGUGAGACCCCCGUAUAUGGUGCGGACGCCCAGCGCUUUGUGAUACAUUUUCGAAGAGUCGAGUUGUUUGGGAAUGCAGCUCAAAUUGGGUGGUAAAUUCCAUCUAAAGCUAAAUAUUGGCGAGAGACCGAUAGCGAACAAGUACCGUGAGGGAAAGAUGAAAAGCACUUUGGAAAGAGAGUUAACAGUACGUGAAAUUGUUGGAAGGGAAACGCUUGAAGUCAGACUUGCUUGCCGAGCAAUCGGUUUGCAGGCCAGCAUCAGUUUUCCGGGAUGGAUAAUGGUAGAGAGAAGGUAGCAGUUUCGGCUGUGUUAUAGCUCUCUGCUGGAUACAUCUUGGGGGACUGAGGAACGCAGUGUGCCUUUGGCGGGGGUUUCGACCUCUCACACUA